rnacentral:tRNA from 1 species
UCCUCUGUAGUUCAGUCGGUAGAACGGCGGACUGUUAAUCCGUGUGUCACUGGUUCGAGUCCAGUCAGAGGAG